UUGGAGGGCAAGUCUGGUGCCAGCAGCCGCGGUAAUUCCAGCUCCAAUAGCGUAUAUUAAAGUUGUUGCAGUUAAAAAGCUCGUAGUUGAACUUCGGGGUCUACCCAUUGGUCAGGCUUAAUUGUCUGCACUGGUGAGAUGGAUCUCUACCUUCUGAGGAACUUUCAUGCCAUUUAUUUGGUGUGAUGGGAAAUCAGGACUGUUACUUUGAAAAAAUUAGAGUGUUUAAAGCAGACUAUCGUCUGAAUACAUUAGCAUGGAAUAAUGAAAUAGGACGGACUGAUUCUAUUUCGUUGGUUUCUAGGAUCACCGUAAUGAUUAAUAGGGAUAGUUGGGGGCAUUAGUAUUCAAUUGUCAGAGGUGAAAUUCUUGGAUUUAUUGAAGACUAACUUCUGCGAAAGCAUUUGCCAAGGAUGUUUUCAUUAAUCAAGAAUGAAAGUUAGGGGAUCGAAGACGAUCAGAUACCGUCGUAGUCUUAACCAUAAACUAUGCCGACUAGGGAUCGGACGAUGUUAAUUUUUUAAUGACUCAUUCGGCGCCUUACGGGAAAC
rnacentral:rRNA from 1 species